UACGGAGGGUGCAAGCGUUGUCCGGAUUUAUUGGGUUUAAAGGGUGCGUAGGCGGUCAACUAAGUCAGUGGUGAAAGGCAGCAGCUCAACUGUUGCACUGCCAUUGAUACUGGAUGACUUGAGUACAGACGAGGUAGGCGGAAUUUAUGGUGUAGCGGUGAAAUGCAUAGAUACCAUAAAGAACACCGAUUGCGAAGGCAGCUCGCUGGGACGUCACUGACGCUGAGACGCGAAAGCGUGGGGGAGCAAACAGG
rnacentral:rRNA from 1 species